AUUGAACGCUGGCGGCAGGCCUAACACAUGCAAGUCGAACGAGUAGCGGACGGGUGAGUAAUGUCUGGGAAACUGCCUGAUGGAGGGGGAAAACUACUGGAAACGGUAGAUACUACCGCAUACCAUCGGAUGGGCCCAGAUGGGAUUAGCUAGGAGGUGGGGUAAAGGCUCACAGAGGCGACGAUCCCUAGCAGGUCUGAGAGGGUGACCAGCCACACGUGAACUGAGACACGGCCCAGACUCCUACGGGAGGCAGCAGUGGUGAAUAUUGCACAAUUGGCGAAAUCCUGAUGCAGCCAUGCCGCGUGUAUGAAGAAGGUCUUCGGGUUGUAAAGUACUUUUGGCAGAGAAGCGGUAUCUGCAGAAAAAGCACCGGCUAACUCCGUGCCAGCAGCCGCGGUAAUUC
rnacentral:rRNA from 1 species